rnacentral:tRNA from 1 species
GUUUUUGUAGUGUAACAUGGUUAGCAUAUCUGGUUAGUAAUUAAAAAAUCCAUGGAUCAAAUCCCUGCGAAGAUA